rnacentral:rRNA from 1 species
AGAGUUGAUCAUCGGCUCAAGGACGAACGCUGGCGGCGUGCCUAACACAUGCAAGUCGAGCGAGGAGAUCCUCGGGAUGAUCCUAGCGGCGGACGGGUGAGUAACACGUGGGCAACCUGCCUCAUAGAGAGGAAUAGCCUUCCGAAAGGGAGAUUAAUACCUCAUAACAUUGCAGUUUCGCAUGGAACAGCAAUUAAAGGAGCAAUCCGCUAUGAGAUGGGCCCGCGGCGCAUUAGCUAGUUGGUGAGGUAACGGCUCACCAAGGCGACGAUGCGUAGCCGACCUGAGAGGGUGAUCGGCCACAUUGGGACUGAGACACGGCCCAGACUCCUACGGGAGGCAGCAGUGGGGAAUAUUGCACAAUGGGGGAAACCCUGAUGCCAGCAACGCCGCGUGAGUGAUGACGGCCUUCGGGUUGUAAAGCUCUGUCUUCAGGGACGAUAAUGACGGUACCUGAGGAGGAAGCCACGGCUAACUACGUGCCAGCCGCCGC